UGGAUAUGUUAAUAGCAUAUUCAUUUGACGUUUAGCUGCAGAAGAAGCACCGGCUAACUCCGUGCCAGCAGCCGCGGUAAUACGGAGGGUGCGAGCGUUUAAUCGGAAUUUACUGGGCGUAAAGCGCAUGCAGGUGGUUUGUUAAGUCAGAUGUGAAAGCCCGGGGCUCAACCUCGGAAUUGCAUUUUGAAACUGGCAAACUAGAGUACUGUAGAGGGGGGUAGAAUUUCAGGUGUAGCGGUGAAAUGCGUAGAGAUCUGAAGGAAUACCGGUGGCGAAGGCGGCCCCCUGGACAGAUACUGACACUCAGAUGCGAAAGCGUGGGGAGCAAACAGGAUUAGAUACCCUGGUAG
rnacentral:rRNA from 1 species